GAUGAACGCUGGCGGCGUGCCUAAUACAUGCAAGUCGAGCGAACAGACGAGGAGCUUGCUCCUCUGACGUUAGCGGCGGACGGGUGAGUAACACGUGGAUAACCUACCUAUAAGACUGGGAUAACUUCGGGCAACCGGAGCUAAUACCGGAUAAUAUAUUGAACCGCAUGGUUCAAUAGUGAAAGACGGUUUUGCUGUCACUUAUAGAUGGAUCCGCGCCGCAUUAGCUAGUUGGUAAGGUAACGGCUUACCAAGGCAACGAUGCGUAGCCGACCUGAGAGGGUGAUCGGCCACACUGGAACUGAGACACGGUCCAGACUCCUACGGGAGGCAGCAGUAGGGAAUCUUCCGCAAUGGGCGAAAGCCUGACGGAGCAACGCCGCGUGAGUGAUGAAGGUCUUCGGAUCGUAAAACUCUGUUAUUAGGGAAGAACAAAUGUGUAAGUAACUAUGCACGUCUUGACGGUACCUAAUCAGAAAGCCACGGCUAACUACGUG
rnacentral:rRNA from 1 species